AUAAGUAUAAAACAAAAAAGCGAAAGCGUUAACUUACAAAAUGUUUAAGAAAAUAUAUAGAAAAUUACAGGUGGAUCAUUCAAAUAGUUUUUGAGCAACAUUGUGCACCGCCUUUGAAAAGAGUAUUUGAGAAAAACGCAUUUAAAAUUUUGACAUCUUUUAUUUUCAAUUUCUUUUUGUUUGUCAAAUCGUAAAGUGAUGCACACUGGACUAUGCUUUUGAAUCGCGGAGUAAUUUACAAAAGAGAAGGGAAACAGUUGUUGAGUUUUUGCAAGUGAAUAUGUUCAUUUUUCAACAAAAUAACCAAGUUUUUAGACGGUUUUUCGCAAAUAACUCAAAACGUAAGCAUUUUGUCGAAAAAAAUAUUCUUAGCAAAACUAUAGCCUAUAAAAAAGUGAAAAAAAACGGUGUAUAAUUGUUAUGUUCAUGUAAAACUCCCUUAACCAUGAAUGUAGGUUGGUACUACUGUCAUCUGAACGACAGCUGUCACAUACUUAAUACUGCGAUAGAAAAUGGAAACCAUGUGCAUAAUUCUUUUAAAUAAAGUAUUUUACAUCGAGUAUUAUUUCAUUACAAAUACUUACGUCCUUUAAGUACAAAGGACUUGACAUUUGGCGACGAGGAUGGGAUAAUGGAUACAAAUAUUACAGACACUACAUCAACUACAGCCGGUACAAACACGAGUUCCUCGACUACAACUGCGAUAGUUGCACCUGCUACAGCUCCAGUAAUGUCUACACAAGUUUCUACAUUCCAGUUUUCCGUUGAACCUUUUAACCAGACAGCUACAAAAUGGUCCAGGUGGGUAAAACGGCUGGAAGGAGCAUACAAAGUUUUUAAAAUUCCAGAGGAAAUGAAAUUGCCCUAUUUACUACAUUACAUGGGGUCGGAAGCAUACGAUACACUGUGUGAUAAACUAGCUCCAGAGGUCCCUGAAGACAAGUCAUAUGAGGAUACAGUUAAGUUAAUGGAUAAUUUUUACAACCCUGCACCACUUGAAAUUGCUGAAAUAUUUAGGUUUCAAUCAAAAAGACAAGCAGAAGGCGAAAGUAUACAAGAAUACCUACAUUCUCUACAGAAACUUGCCAUAAACUGCAACUUUUCCACAUAUUUAAAAAGUGCUAUACGAAAUCAGUUUGUUUUUGGUUUACAGUCAAAGAGGAUUCAAGCCAGACUAUUAGAAACAAAGGGAUUGGACUUGGACCGAGCCGUAGAAAUUGCAGCAAGCAUGGAAACUUCAGAAAAGGAUAGUAAUCAAUUUUCUCACAACAAUAAUUACAAUCAGGCUAGUAUAAAUGUUUUAAAUGCGAAAGCAAAAAGUUCUCAUAAAAAUACAAACACUAGUAAAUUUAAUGAUAAUAAUACAGUAAAUAAUCAUAGUAGCUCUCCUAAUAAUACUUCUACAAUGUCAAAUAACCCUAAUAGGGCUUGUUAUAGAUGCGGAGACACCUCGCAUUUAGCCGAUAAAUGUAAUAAAAAGCAUUUAAUCUGUAACUUUUGUAAAAACGUCGGACACAUUCAAAAAGUUUGUUUAAAGGCACAACAAAAUUCACACAGGCAAGUAAAUUCAGUAAACUCUGCUCAAGAGGUCUUAGAAGUAAAUGCUGGAAAUUGCAAAGAUAAAUUUUUUAUAGAUUUAAAAGUUAAUGGUAAUAUUUUAAAUUUUGAAAUUGAUUCUGGCGCUGCUGUUACAAUCAUAAAUAAAAAUAUAUUUGAAAAAUAUUUUCCUGCAUUACAAUUACAAAAAUCGGAUGUUAAAUUAACUACAUACUGCAAAAAUAAUUUGAAUGUUUUAGGUUUAGUUUCAGUGGAGGUUGAGCACCAGGAAUUAAAGCACACUCUAAAGUUGUAUGUGGUGGAUGGUGAUGGCUACUCACUGGUUGGUCGAGAGUGGAUACAUGCUCUGGAAAUCAAUUUACAUCAGGUAAAUACAAUUCUACAUGAAAAUUUUGAAAUUGCAACUUUGUUAGAUAAAUAUAAACAUUUAUUUGAAAAGUCAGUUGGUGAAAUAAAAGGGUUAGAGGCUGAAAUUUAUCUAAAACCUGGUACUAAAGCAAAAUUUUGUAAGGCCCGUCCUGUAGCUUUUGCAUUACGCCCUAAAGUUGAGGCAGAAUUAGAGUCCUUAGUAAAUCAGGGAGUCUUAAAGAAAGUAGCAUUUUCGGACUGGGCAACUCCUAUUGUUCCUGUAGUUAAACAAAAUGGGGACAUACGCAUUUGUGGUGAUUUUAAAAUCACAUUAAACCCUUGCAUUGAAGUGGAUGAAUACCCUUUACCUACACCAGAUGACCUACUUUCCCAAUUAGCAGGUGGGGACAAAUAUACAAAAAUAGAUAUUACGAAAGCUUACUUACACUUGCCAAUAAAAGAUGAAAUGAAACAUUUACUUACAUUAAACACCCAUAAAGGUUUAUUUCAACCAAAUCGAUUAAUGUUUGGAAUUGCUAGUGCUCCUGCCAAAUGGCAACGUUUAAUGGAGCAAAUGCUACAAGGAAUAGAUGGUAUUUCAAUAUUUCAGGAUGAUAUAAGAAUAACAGCUCCAAAUAAUACCUUACAUUUACAAAGACUUGAACAAGUUUUAAAGAAAUUAUCUGAACAUAAUUUACAUAUAAAUUUGGAUAAAAGCGAAUUUUUCAAAGACGAGAUUGACUACUGUGGAUAUAAGAUGAGUAAAACGGGUGUGUCUACUAGUGCAGAUAAGGUAACUGCAAUUGCAAAUGCUCCAAUACCUACAAACAGAACUCAAGUUCGGAGUUUCUGUGGCCUAAUUAAUUAUUACAGACGUUUUUUAAAAGAUACUUCUACAAUUUUACAACCAUUAAAUAAUUUACUUAAAAAGAAUGUCAAUUUUAAAUGGUCGAAUACUUGUCAAACUGCGUUUGACAAAGCAAAAAAACUCAUUUGUUCUAGAAAUGUUUUAUGUCACUAUGACCCAAAUUUACCAUUAGUUCUAGCAACUGAUGCAUCACCCUAUGGGGUAGGUGCAGUACUUUCACAUAUCUUUCCAGAUGGUACAGAGAGACCCUUACAGUUUGCUUCUCAAACUCUUACUACUACACAGCAAAGGUACUCACAAAUAGACAAAGAAGCUUACAGCAUAAUUUUUGGAGUAAAAAAAUUUUACAAUUAUUUAUGUGCUAGGAAAUUUACUUUGCUCACUGAUCAUAAACCGUUAGUUCAAAUUUUUGCACCUGAUAAAAGCCUACCAGUUUUAAGUGCAACAAGAAUGCAACAUUAUGCAAUUUUCUUACAAGGUUUGAAUUAUGACAUUCGUUACAAAAAUACAGAUUCUCAUCUCAAUGCUGACGCACUUUCACGUCUACCUAUAAAAUCAGAACAAAAUUUCACACAUGAUGAGCCAGAUAUUUUUGAAAUAAAUCAAAUUGAAACUUUGCCUACAAAUAUUAGAGAUCUAGCUUUUCAUACAAAAAAUGAUCAUACCUUAAAAAAAUUACUUGUUGGGUUAAAAACAGGAAAACCUGUUGAUAAACGAUUUAGCUUCAAUAUAAAUCAAGCUGAAUUUUCAUUACAAUCUGAUGUUAUUAUGAGAGGACAAAGAGUAGUUAUACCUACUAAAUUGAGAAAUAAAAUUUUGACAGAAUUACAUACUGCACAUUUUGGAAUAGUUAGAAUGAAAUCUUUAGCUCGUAGUUAUUGCUGGUGGCCUCACAUAGACCAGGAUAUUGAGUCACUUUGUAAAAAUUGUUUAGAGUGCAAUAAGCACAAGAACAACCCAAUUAAAGAUAAUUCUCAUAUAUGGGAGCCACCAAAAUUUUGUUUUGAACGAGUGCAUGCUGAUUACGCUGGACCUUUCAAUGGAGGUUAUUAUUUUAUAUUGGUAGAUUCCUUCAGUAAAUGGCCUGAAAUUCAUUUUACAAAAAAUACUACUACAAAAACUACUAUUGAAAUUUGCCGAAAAAUUUUUACAACUUUUGGUAUUCCUAAAGUUUUUGUUACAGACAAUGGUAGACAAUUUGACUCUCAUGAGUUUAGAACUUUUAUGAAAGAUAAUGGAAUUACACAAAAAUUUACUGCACCCUACCAUCCUGCAACUAAUGGACAGGGAGAGAGAUAUGUCCAAAUACUGAAAAAAUGUUUAAGGGCUAUGCGAAGUGAGGGAAAUGACAGGGAGUUUGAAUUAUGUAAGCUACUUAUGCAAUACCGCAGAAGCCCACAUACAGUUACAGGUAAAAGUCCCUCAGAACUUAUGUUAGGAAGACAAAUAAGGAAUAGAUUAGAUUUACUUAAACCUUCAUGUAGUGAUAGAGUUACCUAUACUGAUAUGAGUCUAAGAAACUUUGAUAUAGGAACUAGGGUUUCCGUGAGGGAUUAUUUUCAUUCUAAAUGGCAAUUUGGCAUUAUUGUACUCAGAUUAGGGUUAUUGCAUUAUUUAAUUCAGUUAGAUGAUGGUAGAACAUGGAAACGUCAUGUAGACCAAAUACGGCAAAUUGGGGAAUAUACUCCAUCUCAAAAUAAUCCAACAUGUUACAUUCCGGAUACCAUUACUCACAAUUUGAUUCCGAGGGAGGCAUCAAUUCCAGAGCACAGUGUCUCACCACCACCUACCGAAGUGAUUACUGAUGAAUCCGAAAUUUCAAACAAUAUGGAAAGUUCGAAUAGUGUACCUGGGGCUCAAACUGAAACUGAGGAACCCAUUUUAAGGCGUUCCACUAGAGUAAGGAAACCUGUUACCAGACUGAAUUUGGUGGACUUAGCGGUGCCAAUAUGAAUCCUGCUAGAAGUUUUGGUCCAGCUCUUCUAAAUAAUACCUGGGAUCGCCAUUGGGUAUACUGGAUAGCUCCUCUUUUAGCAGGAUUUGUUGGAGCCUUACUUUAUAGAAUAAUUUUUUCAAAGGAUGCCAAGAAAAAUGAAACAUACCCAGAAGGAACAUAAACUGUACACGUCUUUUGUAUUAUGUAAUACUUAUACCAAUUUUAAAUCCAAAUUGAAGAGUUUUCUUACAUAUUACUGAUUACUUCUUACAAAUAGUAUUUUAUAAUUCAAUAUUUUUAAACCGUGUUCUAGUAAUUUGUAUUGAUUCGGAAUUUUGGCAUAAAAAAAUUAAACGGGUAAUAUUUGUAAAAUCUUGCUUACCACCAUAAAUAAAAUUUUCGCGACCAUCAUACUGAAAAGAUUCACAAACAAAGUUGAUUUCGAGCUAAUUAAGCAGGCUUUAGACCAGAAUCCUCCUGCAUAGAUCACAUUAGAGUAAUAAUGGAAUCGAUUGAAUGAAACACACCCUUAUACAUGUUUUUCUUUUUGUUUUCGAGCGUGCCUGUGACAGCUUAUCUCAUGCUGGUAUAUGAAAAAUUUAGAGUUAGGAAAUAUUCUGCAAAAAAUAAUUUCCAUCAUAAAGUCAGUGGCGAAAUAUAGCGUGAGAUACAAUUGGAUCAACAAUGACGUAUUUGAGGUACCUACUUACUGGAGUCGGACAGGGAGGCGUGCUUCCUCCGUUUCUUUUUAACAUAGCUAUAGACUAUGUUCUCUUCAAAUCAGACUCCGACAUAAGAGGUAAACAAUGGAAGCUAACCACACCCUUAGAACAUCUGCCCCUUAGGACAAAGGUUCCGAGAUGUGGCUGACCAACUGGGGAACACUUUCCAUUGAAGCCAAUUAACAGGUUUGAAAAUCAAUAUUAAUAAUACCAAAUCCAUGAGACUAAAUGCAAAAAACAAUAUAUUCUUGUUCUCAUGAUCAUUUUUCAGUGCGUCACAGUUUUUCGAUUUCUCUCUAAUGCAUUAAGUUAGAUGAGACGGAAAAAGCGGUAGCUCCGUGAUUAAACACAAAAAUAAUGCAGCAUUACAAUGGUUAUAUACAUAAGAUGUCUAUUCCUAACCUACGUUUGAUUCGUUGAUAUUUAGAAUGCGCGUUUUUUCUAGCCAAUUAAAUACACGUAUUACGAACAUUUGACGAAAACUUCGUUCAUUUUGGCAAUUUUUUAGAAGUGUCAAAGAGUCAAGUGACGGUUAUUAUUCAGGUCAGUAUUUUGUGUACCUGUCAUUUUGAAAUUUCGAAUUCGACUUCCCUUGUGUUUCACAACGUCUUUGUGCAUUUUUUUGUGUUUUGGUUUAGAAUUUAGUUCGUUAAAAGUUAGUCAUUGGCGUGAGGAGACUAGAGACAUUUGAGAUGUACCGAAGAGUGCUAAAUAUCUCAUGAGUAGAUAGAAUAGCCAACGUGGAGGUAAUGAGACUUACGCAUAAGGAACGAGAAGAACUAACAAAUAAGAAGAAAACUGAGAUAUAUGGGACAUGUGAUAAGAGAUGUAUAUCUAAUACUCCAGGUCAUUAUGCAAGAAAAAGAUCUAUAGUAAGGAGACGUAACUCAAGGCUGAAGAACCUAAGGAACUGGUUUGGAUGUAAUAACAAUGAAUUAUUUAAAGACGCGGUUUCAGAAAUAAAGAUCGCUCUGAUGACUGCCAACUUUUGAAGCGGAGACAGCACCUAGAGAAGGAUAUAAAAACACAAUUAAUGGAUAGUUUUGUGUCAUUUUUUAAUGUUUCCAUAUUUAUAAAUUUAAUUAACAAUAUUGUUUACUUUUUAAUUUUAUUCCCCUUUAUAAAAAAUACCUACAUGUUAACAUAUUGUGUAAAAAUUAAAUAUACUAAAUUACUAAUUAGUUUAAUUCCACCAGCUUUUCACCUAUGGCUAAGUACGAUUCUAGCAUCUGUCAGAUUCGUCAAUAAUUACAUGAAAUAAGUCUCGACACAGCCAAUACAGUAUAUGACGUCAUAAUUAAUGACGCACUGAAAAAUGAUCAUGAGAACAAGAAUACUAUUUACUAUAAACAACACGCAGAUUUAAAAUGUGGAAAAUUUUACGUAUCUUGGAAGUGUCAUAACAGAAAGUGGAGGUACAGAAGACGAUAUUUUUAUGAGAAUACGAAAAGCUCAACAAGCUUUGAGCAUAUUCAUCCCUAUUUGGAGGUGUGGUUAGUCUACUACAAGGAUUUGAAUAUUCCAGUCAAAUGUCAUGUUUGUUCUACUCUAUGGAUGUGAAACUUACAAAGUGACAAAAACCCUUAUAUACAAACUGUCCAAUAAAAAGUUAUACUAAGUAAUUCUGGAAUAACGCUCUUUAAUUCUCCAUUUUCCCUGCUUCUCUUUAUUCAAUUGGAAAAAAAUAUCUAUAAUUUUAAUACAAACAUACAGUGUGUCCACGGAUGGGGUGACCAAAAGGAAAACUUUUUUAUUUUCAAUUUUAGCGAAAAAUGUCAUUCUUGAUAUAAAGUUUUGCUUAUUCCUAAAACCCCAUAAAACGAAAUAAAAUUCAAGUUUUUCAAAUCCUGCUUAAUUUUGUAGCCAAUUUUAUAUAAAUCCCUAUAAAUUUUUGCACUAAGUUCGAAAUUGUAACAAUAAUAACUUAUGAGAACAACACUUUCACUUCUGUGGAUUAUGAAGCCAGACUUUGUCGUUCUCCUCGAAUCAUCCAAUUAUUUAAUAAUUAAAUAAUUAAUAAUCCAGUAAUUUUAAUAAUGAAAUUUAUCACAAGAUAACCUCUCUAUUGAACGCUUAACAUUGUCGAAAAAAAUGACAAUUCGCAAAUUAUUUAUCAGAGUUGAAAGUUACUAAGCUACAUUGUGUCUUGGCAACACUAGAUUAUUGGUACAAUUUUGAACUUAGUGCAAAAAUUUAUAGGGAUUUACAUAAAAUUGGCUACAAAAUUAAGCAGGAUUUGAAAAACUUGAAUGUUAUUUCGUUUUAUGGGGUUUUACAACAAGCAAAACUUUUUAUCAAGAUUGACAUUUUUCGCUAAAAUCGAAAAUAAAAAAGUUUUUCCUUUUGGGCACCCCAACCGUGGACACACUGUAUAUCAAUGUUUACAUUAUCUAAUAGACAUAAUAUGCGAGAAAAGCUCUUCUUUGAAACAAGUAUGCAGAUUUGCAUAUAAUUUUAUGUAUUUAAUAUUUUAAACAAAUAUUGUAAAUAAAACAUAAUAUACUUAUUUUAUGUAAUUUAAAAUAAACAUUAAAAAACCUUUGA